AUGAAAAUAUGAUUAUUCCUUGCUGAACUGUCGAACUGUUUAAAUUGUGUGUAGGAAUCAAUUUAAUUCUAUAAAGAAUACAUACAAUUUUAUUGUCUAUCUAUAUUAAUAUAUACCAUUUUUAUACUUAAAUUUGUUUUUCUCGAAUAGUGAAUAAUAAAAAAUGGUGUCCGGUGGAAUGGCUUGCAUUAAAUACCUGACGUUUCUUUUCAACCUAAUAUUCGCAAUAACUGGAAUUGUAUUUAUUGCUGUUGGUACUGUGAUCUUAGUAGUUUACAGUGGCUAUAAUAAUUUUAUGGACAGCUGGUUCUUUGCAGCACCAAUAUUAAUAAUUAUAGUAGGUGUUAUUGUAUUUAUUGUGUCAUUCUUUGGUUGUUGUGGUGCAGUCAAAGAAAAUCAUUGUAUGAUAAUAACGUUUUCUGUAUUACUCCUCUUAAUCUUUGCACUUGAACUUGGUGCUGGGAUUGCUGGAUAUAUGAUGCGUGGAGAUGUACAUACAAUGGUAGAAAAUCGAUUAAAUACUACUAUGAAAGAAUAUACAACCAAUGAUGAUAUUCAUAGGUCUUGGGAUAUUAUGCAACAUGAUUUACAAUGUUGUGGAAUAAUUGGUGCAAUAGACUGGACUCAUGUUGGAUUCUCAGACAAUAUUGUACCAAAUUCUUGCUGUAAAGAAGUACCAGAAGGAAAUAAAUGUGAUUCAAAUUCAAUUCAUAUACAUUCAAAUGGUUGUAUGAACAAUCUUCAGUCUGCUAUUGAGCAUAAUGCUUUGAUUUUGGGUGGUGUAGGCAUCAGUAUUGCUGUUAUUCAGUUAAUUGGUGUGAUCUUUGCAUGCUGUCUGGCACGUUCAAUUCGCCGUGAAUAUGAAACUGUGUAAGCAGACAGAUAUCUCCAAUUUUAAUGCCUAAAAAUUGCACCCAAACUUCAGAAUAUGCUAUCUUUCUUUCACUCUUAUGUAUUAUAAUAUAUAUAUAUAUAUAUAUAUAUUCUUUCU
rnacentral:misc_RNA from 1 species